CAGAAAUGCCAGAAAUGAUGGUGAAGUUGAGUCCAAACAGCUAAAAUUGAAUAGCAGUCCAUUGGAUAUGUAUCAAGGCUGCAGUCUCUCUUCAGUACAUCUGAUGGUACAGAACAGAUCCAGAAGCUGGGAGUGGUGGCACUAUAAUCACAACUACCAAGGAGGCAGAGGCUGGAGGAUCAUAAGUUUGAAGGACAACUCAGUGCAACCCUGUCUCAAAAAAGUGAUGGGAUGUAGCUCAGUGGCAGAGUACCCCUGGGUUCAGUUGCCUAGCCCAGCAAAACACACUCAUACAUCCAUACGCAGAAUGCCUCUACCCAUCUUACCAAAACUCUCAGCAGCCACUGAUUGCUGUGCUGUCACCUACAAGGAUACACUCAGGCCUCUGAACAGAAAGGGUCUCCAGUUUCAAAAACUUAACUUACAUCUCCCCCAAAACUUUCCUUAGGAGGCUGUUUGAAAAAAAAGUACCUACACAUCAGUUUAUUUGAAACCAAUGCUUAGUACUGGUGAGCAAAGCUCAACUGUUACAUUGAUCUGAUCUCAAUGAAAACCCUACUCUCCCCAACCCAGGACCUCACACAUGCUAGGUAUGGUGUUCUACCACUGAGAAAUUUCCUUUUUUAAAAAUGACAAGAGUCCAGUCCCUUUUUGGCUGUAAAAUUUUAGGCAGAAAAUAACAGUAAGAAACAAAUGAUCAUUCAAUUCAAUGCUCAAACACAGUGCUGGUUCCUGAAAAAUUUGGAGGUGAUUUUUAGAAAAUGUCACAUAAUCUAUUACAUACCAGAGCCAGACCUAAACCUACCUCAUAAAAUCCAUGUUUCCAAAUAUAUCAUAGUUUUUAAAUGUUAUCUGGUCAGAAUGCUUAAUAAAUAAACUUUCAAUAAUGAUAAAAAAUGACAAUUUUUACAAUAUCUGCAGCUCAAUAAGUAGUUAUUAAAUAAAUUAAAGCCCAGACAUCAGAUUUUCAGUGUAGUGUUCAAGAAAUAAAACCAUCCAAGUGUGGAAG
rnacentral:lncRNA from 1 species